AACGCUAGCUACAGGCUUAACACAUGCAAGUCGAGGGGUAGCAUGGUCUUAGCUUGCUAAGGCCGAUGGCGACCGGCGCACGGGUGAGUAACACGUAUCCAACCUGCCGUCUACUCUUGGACAGCCUUCUGAAAGGAAGAUUAAUACAAGAUGGCAUCAUGAGUCCGCAUGUUCACAUGAUUAAAGGUAUUCCGGUAGACGAUGGGGAUGCGUUCCAUUAGAUAGUAGGCGGGGUAACGGCCCACCUAGUCUUCGAUGGAUAGGGGUUCUGAGAGGAAGGUCCCCCACAUUGGAACUGAGACACGGUCCAAACUCCUACGGGAGGCAGCAGUGAGGAAUAUUGGUCAAUGGGCGAGAGCCUGAACCAGCCAAGUAGCGUGAAGGAUGACUGCCCUAUGGGUUGUAAACUUCUUUUAUAAAGGAAUAAAGUCGGGUAUGGAUACCCGUUUGCAUGUACUUUAUGAAUAAGGAUCGGCUAACUCCGUGCCAGCAGCCGCGGUAAUACGGAGGAUCCGAGCGUUAUCCGGAUUUAUUGGGUUUAAAGGGAGCGUAGAUGGAUGUUUAAGUCAGUUGUGAAAGUUUGCGGCUCAACCGUAAAAUUGCAGUUGAUACUGGAUAUCUUGAGUGCAGUUGAGGCAGGCGGAAUUCGUGGUGUAGCGGUGAAAUGCUUAGAUAUCACGAAGAACUCCGAUUG
rnacentral:rRNA from 1 species